CCUGUAGUGGGAAGACCUGGGCCAUCUAAAUCCGGCGCUGUCUGCAUGAUGGGGACCACCUUUGAACCGGGAAAGUUACUUGUUAGAAAAGCUUGUACUUUGGAAGGAUUCUUCCCCUUUUAGCUGUGGAGCUUUUUGGUCAGCGUGGCUGGAGCGUCCUGUGCUGGCCUACCCUGGCACAAGAGGCCAAGCGGAAAGCCAUUUCAAGCAGUGAUGAAGUCUGCUCAUCCCUUCGGAGCCUUCUGCUUGCCGGUCAAGACCACAGGAUUUCCUCGGAGAGCAAACGCGCGUUGUUCGGCUCAGCGCAUGUGUAAAAGCUGGAGCUGAUCCGCCUGCUUUGACCAGGGAGGGAGGUCAACACUAAAAAUCUGUGAUGCUUGUAAGAAGAACAGGACCCGUGGAAGGCUGUGUGUCUCUUGUAUUUGUGCCGCUUCAGACAACAGCGGGGAUUUCUCUGCCGAGUCUUUGAGGGACAAGCCCCCACCGCAAGAGCCGUGAGCGUUGAAAGAUGGAAAACAUCUUCUCCCCUCCCUCCCUUGUCUUGUAAAAGGAAGCAGGAAAUUGUGAGCGCAUGAGUUAAGCAGAGCCCUGGGGAAGAGGAAUCUCUGGAGCAGCCUGUGGCUGGCGGCGGGGUGCGAAGCUGGAGGCCACGGCAGGACACGCACGUACUCACCACGCACUUGGCAUCACCACAUCCCUUCCCCUCCCCUCGACCCAGACCGUCUCUCCCGUCGCUGCAGCUGGAUCCGUUCCCAGUCAGGGACUGGGUGAGAGGUGGCGGGUGGCCGGGGAUGUGCUGCCUAUGGCUGCAGGAAACCAGGCAGCACGGGAUGGCUCGGUAAAUUCACUACCAAAAGCACUGCCGGAGUCGGGCAGGGAGAGGCAAAUUGUGGCUGGAAAAGGUGGAUGAGAUUUGGGCCCCACGAGUCAUUGCGCCCCCUCCUGCAUCCCGAGGCCGCCCCGGUUACAGCCGUCCCGCUCUGGCUGUCACGGCGGAGGCAGCAGGAGCCGGCCCAAGCUGUCCGUGCGGGAAGGAGGUGGUGUUUUUCACCCCUAGCAUGAACCUCUAAAAUCUCUUGGGAAAAUCAUCACCAAAAACACUGACUGAUGCUGCCCAAGCAGCGGAGGCUCCCGGAGCCGGCACGGCUGCUGUUGGGUACCCUGAUGUCUGUGGGAGCCAGACGAGCCUGCAGCGUCCGAGGGACAGGCGCGUGUUAAUACACCCCAAUGAGACGCUGCCCUGCGUUGAACCCGAGAGCGUGUGCUGGCUAACACACGUCAGCAUGGAGACCUUCCAGGCUGGCCGGGAAAGCCCCAGGAGAUGUCGAGAUCGCGUGGUCUGUGCCGGAAAAAUAAACGAGCCUACCUUCCUGUGGUGAUUCAGUCUCCAGCGCGCUCCUACACUGCCCUUCUCCCAGGAUGAUCACACUGGGACGUAUCUUGUGCUAUUUACUCAAUUCUCUCCCGACACCGCCGGAAGGAGCAGGGGUGUGAAGGAAGCCUGUGCUUGGUCUGAAGAUCGGCAGCUUCAGCCAUAACAACUCAGCUGCCGGAGGAAGCAAACCUCCCUGGCCAGGGCUGGAGGGGACGCGACCUCUGCUGCUUCCCAGGUUACUAACAGCAGUUUUCAGCUGCUGUGGGACAGGUCCUUGGUUCAGGUCAGCUUCCCAAGGAGAAAAAUGUGAAGGCCCGCGCACCUGGACAGCAGCGGGCACAAUGGGACCUCUCCCUUGUUACAUGUCUGGCUGCAGAGCAGCUAAUCCAAUAUUAUUAAUGACAAUCAGAACAGACAUGACGUAAUUUAAACCGCUGGGCUUCUAUAAAAGGAUUAUUCUUAGGUGUUGAGCUGCCCAAGGAUAGGGGGAAAAGCAUUAUUUUGUAUAUAGGAGAAACCUCCUGACACUUCAACACGCUGUGGGAAAGAAGAAAUGACUAUAGAGAGACCUGGGUCUGUUUGGCCUGGUGAAGAGAAGACUGGGAGGGGGAUCUCAUCAAUGCUUAUCAAUAUCUAAAGGGCGGAUGUCAAGAGGAUGGGUCAAACUCUUCUCAGUGGUGCCCAGCGCCAGGACAAGGGGCAACGGGCACAAACUGGAACACGGGAAAUUCCAUCUCAACAUGAGAAAAGCUGUAAGGGUGGCAGAGCCCUGGCACAGGCUGCCCAGAGAGGUGGUGGAGUCUCCUUCUCUGGAGACAUUCAGAACCCACCUGGACGCGUUCCUGUGCCACCUGCUCUGGGUGACCCUGCUCUGGCAGGGGGUUGGACUAGAUGAUCUCCAGAGGUCCCCUCCAAGCCUACGAUUCUGUGAUAAGAAAAUAGACCAGACCAGGCCUUCCUCUGGUGAUCUGGCGGAUGAGCAAAAGCAGGUCAGCUUACAGAGAGGCAGAGAGGUAGCUGCAGGUGGUUGGGCCCAAGGCCUUUCCACAGCUACUGGUGUGGCUCCCUGAAACGCUGCAAGGAGCUUUUUCCUCAAGCAGGAAUGUGCUCAGAAAGCCAGCCUUGGAAACUGCACGGUAUACUUCCUUCCCUCUCCCGUUAGACUUGCCGUCCGGCCCUCACUGGAAGGGGAGACAUGUAGAGGCUUUGCAGGAAAACCUUACUCUUGUGUGUGGAUGCUUUAGCUGGUUGCCAAACUUCUCCUGGGAAUGCAGGGUCUGAUUUGAUGAAGGAUGGGAUUUCUGACCAGAGAGAGCUGAGAGAGUGGUGAUUACAGCUCUUGCUUAUAAAUGCAAGAGCUCAAAAGCCUGGCCUGAUGGAGCCAGGCUUGAGACUUGAAUCCUGGCCACUCACUUCCCAAGGUAUGGGUUGCUUUAACCUUCUGGGGUCAGGUUGCUUUGGUGAGGGGAUGGCUUCUUUUGCUUUUCUUUUUAAAUGCUUUUGAGACUGUAGGUGACAGCAUUCCCUUCUCUGCAGGACAUUUGCACUCACUGGGAUCAUGUGCUGCAGAGUACUGAAGCUUUCACUCAAUGAGAAGCGCGCUGCACAGGUCCCCAUCUUCACACAGAUGGAGCCCAAGACUCUUCCAUGCCGAUACAGGGAGAGUCAAAGCUGAAAACCUGUAAAUCUGAGCUGCUGGUUACAAUAGCAAAUAUGAGCCCAAAAAGCUGGAGGAGAUGCCAUGCUCAGCUCUUCUGGCAAGCAGUUGUAGUAAACUUCUUCAGGGGAAAAGGGGAUGGGGUCCUUUGGUCUUGGCCUCCAGAGAAGUUAAGUUCUGGCAUGCACCUGAUCUGUGCCACUGCUGAGAUGGGAGGCUCACAGCAGCCUUUCUGACACCCGUCUACGUCGAUGGAGAGUUGUCUUUGACUAGGCAAUACUGACCCAAGCCUGGGAGUGGCUGCUCUGACCAGGUGUCCAUCUGUCCUCUCUUUCUUCUGGGACAGUUUCUUUAGUUCUAGGUGGGUGUCUUGCGUUUCUCUGCUUGGUUCUGUCUGCAUCAAUGUAGCUGGGACUUAAUUUGCUUCUAUCAAACAUCAGGAGAAGUCGCUUUGCUUUGGCCAGAGUAUUAGGCUAGCUCUGUGCCUUGACCAGCGUGCCUCUAAUCCUUGGACAAAAACCCCAAGGGAGAGCUUGGGAAAUGAAUCCUUCCAGCCCUUCCUCUAGCAAAAGCUGGGCAUCUCUAACUCUGGGACUGGGCAGGAUGGGAGAUGCCCCCGUAACGCUGAUGGCCCUCGGACAUGCGUAUCCCGACCCUCCCUGGCAGAGUCACAAAUUCCACUUGUGAAUGGAGAAGUCAAUAGGAAGAUCAGCGUUGAUGAAUGCCAGAUCAUACUGCACCUCAGUAAAGGAAGAAGAAAGAAACCACCCCAGAGGCGCUCAAAUGAGAAGAAAGCCAGCGCUGUGCCCUUCAGGCUUACCCUCGGAGUGCUGGGGUGAAGGAUGGCACAGAGGAGUUUCACGUAACCACCAUCUUCUGCAAAGCGGACCUGGCCAGACUAAGGAAGAUCUGAUCUGCUGUCUUUGAUUUGGUGAGAAGUAAACCGUAGUGGGGGAAAGAUACUGGGGAAAGAGGCAUGUGCAUUUGCAGCAGGGAUUGUCCCCUUGAAACAGCUGUAACCCACAUCCUUUCCACAUUAAACAGUCAAGAGUGGCUGCCCCCACCCGGGGCAGUGCAUCUGCCAGGGCUUUCCCUGCCAAGUGAUAGUUUCCAGGAUGGGCAAAUGCGGGCAAGCAGGAAGAGACCGGCUCUGCUGUGAGGUGCAAGCGUGUGCUUCUGACCCGCUCUGUGGUUUUCCUGUGUGCCACCUGGGGAGGACCGUGAUGAAGGGAUGUUCCUCUAGAGUCAAGGGCCGAGUCUGCAUCAUCAGCACAACCCAGCCUAGACCUUCAUGCUGUCACACAAAGACCUGGCCUAAGCCCAGACCCUUCCAGGGGGCAGAGAACAGGACUCGAUCCGUCCCUUGUCAGAUGUCCACAGAGGUCAUGCCACAGCAGUGGGGUGCAUCGCACUACCGACAGUAAUCCUGAACAGGGCUGAUUUUUGGUGUCGGCUCUGGGGCCACACUGUUGCCAGCAUGGUGGGUGGGAAGCACGCGGGUCACAACCCACUGCCUGCCUCAUUCACCAAGGAUGUGACCUCUGGAGAGCGGAUGGUAGGCAUGGAAAACCUGAAACAUCUCUGCCUUGGAGCAGUCUGUGUCAUCCAGCCAUAACUUUUUCCCUUGCCCACAGGCAGAUGCCGGCCACGGGUCUCAUGGGUGGCAAGGCAGCGCAACCCCAGACUGGGUGCCCUUUCAGCCGAGCUGCCUCCCGGUUGCUUCCAGCAAAUAAUCCACGGAACCCCUCCAGGCUCAGUUCCCUUGCAACAAGGACCCAUCCCAAACGGUCAUGCCAGUCCGAUGGUCUAUGGUUCUGCGCCUUGUGAUGGCUUCUCUGGUGUCUAAUGAUGGUUCAGCUUGUGCUCCAGCCUCUCCGCUGGGGAGGGAGGGCUUCGUAGGAGCUUCUUCUCCAGCUCUCUCCUGUCCUCAGAAAAUUCAUGGGAACUUACUAUCUUUAGAAGCUCUCACCCUCUAUCAAAUCUGUUUGGAAGGGCUCAGUGGGUUAAAAUGUUAAAAGAGGGGAGAAUGAUGAGCGUAUGCAACUCGUGCUUAAGUUUUAUGGCCUUAAGAAACCAUACUGAAGCCAUGCUAGAAAAAAGGGAGUUGUUUCCAGGAAAAGUUUUCCAAAGUUUCAACUUGAUUUCCUUUCCAGCAUUAUGAAAGCCGCUCUUUGAUAAAUAUCGUAAUUAAAAAAACCCAGCAGUCUUAUUUUUUUCUCCAAUUCGUUUUAAUGGUGUAAAUUCGGGGCCGGGGGGUGGGGGGUGGGAAGGGAGCGCUUAGAAACAAAAUCUCUGUAUUUUCUCGUAUAAACAUACCCCGUUCUGAGGAAGACGCUUUCCUCUUUAACAAGGGUCUUUCUGUUGGAAAACGGUUGCUUGGCUUUUGCGCUGACAGCCCCGGGACAGUAAAACUUGUCAGCACGAGUGAGAAACUGAGUGGCCCGGCUGGAGUGGGAUAACGCUCCUGCUAACAGGGCGAUUGUCCCUCUAACUCCACGGUGGCGGUUCCAAGCGACCCCCCCCGCCGGCAGCCGCUCCCCAUGAUCCCCUCCCAGGCUCUAACACAGCUGCUGGCUUGCGGCACAUUUCUUUUCCUAGAUGUCACCUUGGGGUUUCCCCCACCACCACCACCACCGCCGUCUCUCAGGAUUUCUAGGAUGCUUGAACUCAUUUCUGCCUGCGGUAUUGCUGAUGUGGAUGGGCUGGGCUGCAUUUUUAGGAUCUGAUUCAAAGCCCACUGAAGGCAGGAGCGAUUCGCCGUUGAUGUCAGUGGUCGCUGGAGCAGGCGCGGUGUAGCUGCUGGUUUUUUAUAUCCAGACAAUCGCAGUUAAAGGGAGCAAAGAAAAAAAAAACAAAAAACAAAACAAAACGAAAACCCCACAGCCAAAACAAGGAUCCUGCUUAAACCAGGGUAUUGCACCAGACCCCCCAAAAGCAGUGAGAGGUACUGGAUUGCUCACUCCUGGGAAAAAUUGAGGCUGUCCUCUUUAAGAGAGAGAUUUUACUUUCUCUCUCUUUGGAUUUUGCAUUUGAAACAAAUGAAGGGCUUUGUGAGGAGAAGGGAGAAAAAAAGAAAAACCCAAUGACCUUAUGGUGAGCAUCUCGGGAAUCUGUGGUACAUCCAGCUGAUGGUGAACCUCCCUAAGGUCUGGCCAUGCCAGCAUUGCCUGAGCCCGUGGAAGGAGAGCACGGCACAACCCACACUGUCCGUACCGGUGAGCAGGAGCUGAGAUUGCACCUCCGAGACAGGGCAGGGGGUCACAGAAAUUCCUGUGUUUAUCAACUGGGAGUAUUCUGGGAGGAGGAGGGGGUUGUGAGUUAUUCCUACUUUUUCAGAUCAUUUCAAUUUUGCUAGAGGCAGUUGCUCCAGCGGAGGUGUUUCUGCACCGUGCACAGCGCACGCCGGCUGGUGCGUGCCACCCAGAGACCAGGUUCAGCGGAGCAAAUUGCCGGCGAUGUAGGGUUGGAUCAGCGAAACUGGCAAAAGGAGAGUUUCCGCCGACAGACCCGAAUUCCUGCUUUGCAGGUUGAUUAGAGGGGGUGGCUGAGCCCUCAGCUGAACCUCAUUCGCCACGCGUCUGGGGAAAAUCUGACAAUAAGAUCCCCCCGAAAGAUGAACAGCUCGUAUUUGGAGGAGCUGAUAUCUGCCUGCUAGCAACAGGCAAGGCGAGACGAGAGAUGCAGCAUUUUGGGAUGGGCUGAAGCUCUCUGCCCCUGACAGAGAGGGCCGGAUCCAGCGCAGUGAGGGGUGCAGCUCUGCAGACGUGGAUGGGGCACCGGGCUUCCACCUCAGCUCAGGAUCUGACUCAACGGCCACGUUGUUGUCUUGGAGGGUGGAUGAUGUGAAAUGAUUCACCAUCAUCAACCGCUGGCAUUCGACGGGGUUGAGUCAGGGCCAGCGGGCUUAAAAAGUGGCGGAUGGGUUAAAUGUUUUUGGAAGAGGGGAGAUGUUGGGUCUUCUCCUUUGCCUGCUGGAUUGUGGACCUCUGGAUGGUGGCCAGCUUGCAUGCGAUGCUCUUCCCAGCAAGCACGAGGCAAAGCCGGUUGGCAGAGCGUGUAACCGGGGCUCAGUUGGGUCUACGAAGAGCUGGCUUUUGCUGCCUCUCCCAGAUGCCUCUGGGCCCAUCUUUGCUUUGCGGGAGGCUGGCGGCUUCCACUCCAUGUGCAGGUUGAUGGGUCUUCUUCAGCCUGGCAAGUGACUGGCUGCUCCUGUCCUGUGCACUCUUCAUGCCGUGGGAUGCCGGUCCCCGCUGGGUGACCUGUGGAUCCCACACCCUGGGUUUGAGCGCUGUGAGGUGACGUGGAAAUUUGUCGCUUUCGGUGCUGCUCAGUUUCAGUUUGCUGCCUUUUGAAAUCUUCAAAUAUCCUUGUAACUACAGGAGGCUCGAGGAGAAACGCCAAAUGCUCCGUCUCAUGACAAAGCCGCAGACGCACCGGAGAGCUGCCAGGAGAGCAGUAGCUGAUAGUGACUGGGGAGGAAGCGCAGCCUUGCGGUCACACACCUGCCCUUUGGGCUGGGAGGUGGGGAAUUCAUGUUGGGCCCCUCCUGUGACCUUGUGUACAGCUUGGUACGGUGGUUUGCAGCGGCUGUGCGGGCUUGGAGACCUGUCUGUUACCUGCUUGGACUGACAGCUUUUUGAUCAGCGAUUCCCACAGGUUAACGAUGACAUAUGAAGAGAUUCAUUAACUUCAGGAGACUCACCGCCCCCGGCAGCGGAAACGGGACCCGCUUCUGCUGGCUGGGUGGGAUCCGUGCUGCGGCUGCAGGCUCCGUGAGCCGUCGGCUCCCCCCGGCACGCCAAAGGCCAUUCAUUGCCCAGGGGACGGCUCCGCUGUGUCAGAGCGCUUCAAACCGACCGGUGUCGCGGUGACCUUAUUCCCCAGCUCCCUCCUAUUCAACCCCUUCUCGCUAUGGUUUUAUUUUUAAGGCCCUUGUCAAACACCGGAUAACGCCGCCCUUUGCCAAGGCGAUCGCUGGCCAAAAGUCCUCUUUUAGUGCAAACUGCAGGCGACGGCUCUCAAGCGCCGGUGGCCGCGCCGGGAGAGCUGAGGACCUGCCUCCUCCUCCAGAGGGGUUUUCGUCUCAGCACCCCUGGUGGACAAGGCGAUGGCACUGAGAUGUCAGGCCAGGUGGAAGUCACUGGUGUGUCAGGUGCUGCAGGAAUAGCCGAGGAACUUAAAAGUGUGAGGAGGCGAGCCAGGCACACAGCAGGGGAUGAGCGAUGGUGCGUCCGAGGGGAGAGGUGUUUUGCAAGCAGCCCUUAGAGGUCCCCUUGGAGACACAGGGCAAAGCCCAGCGGGGCAUUUUAGGAUUUUGGGGUGCCUUCCCCCUGCCAGAGUUCAACCCCGCUAUCACAGAGGCUGGCACAAGCAGCCACCCUGGCGUGUUAAUUCAGUACCAGCCUGUUGUCUUGGGGUGUGAGGACAAGUGAGAUACCUCUGGCAAACCUGAAACAGGACUUUGAAUUUCUCCCACAGCUCCCAGCUCCCCCCCGCGGACCUGAAAACUUCCCCAAGCCCCAAACUCCCAAUGUUUUGACACCCAAGCACCAGCCAUAAGCCUCUGCUGCUGCAGCGAGGUCCGGGAUUGCUGACCCACAUGUUGGUUCAAGCCCCUCACCUGGCUGAAAUGUCAGCCUGGC